GGGACAGUAGGUUGGUCGUGCCACCGGUACGUACUGGUCUCACUGAUUCCUCCUUCCUGAAGAACCGUAAUGCCAUUAAUUUGGUGUUGCUGGGAAACAGGACUGUUACUUUGAAAAAAUUAGAGUGUUUAAAGCAAGCUAACGCUUGAAUACAUUAGCAUGGAAUAAUGAAAUAGGACGAUCGAUCCUAUUUUGUUGGUUUCUAGGAUUGACGUA
rnacentral:rRNA from 1 species